rnacentral:lncRNA from 1 species
GGACAGUGGAAAAGGAGAGUUCUGUGUGUCCUUCUCCAUCUACAUGGCCUGGGGCGAGCACUGUGAGCACCUGAGCAUGAAACUCGACGCGUUCUUCGGCAUCUUCUUUGGGGCCCUGGGCGGCCUCUUGCUGCUGGGGGUCGGGACGUUCGUGGUCCUGCGCUUCUGGGGUUGCUCCGGGGCCAGGUUCUCCUAUUUCCUGAACUCAGCUGAGGCCUUGCCUUGAAGGGGCAGCCGUGGCCUAGGCUACCUCAAGACUCACCUCAUCCUUACCGCACAUUUAAGGCGCCAUUGCUUUUGGGAGACUGGAAAAGGGAAGGUGACUGAAGGCUGUCAGGAUUCUUCAAGGAGAAUGAAUACUGGGAAUCAAGACAAGACUAUACCUUAUCCAUAGGCGCAGGUGCACAGGGGGAGGCCAUAAAGAUCAAACAUACAUGGAUGGGUCCUCACGCAGACACACCCACAGAAGGACACUAGCCUGUGCACGUGCGCGUGCACACACACACACACACAAAAGAGUUCAUAAUGUGGUGAUGGCCCUAAGUUAAGCAAAAUGCUUCUGCA